rnacentral:miRNA from 1 species
CUCGCAAGGGCAGGCACAGGAGCCGUGGUUGGCAGAGGGCAGCGCCUCUCCCAACCGCGGCUCCUGUGCCUGCCCUUGCAAGU